UUAAUGAGGACCUGCUGUUUAAAGACUGGGUGCCCAGCCAGCUCACCUAGGCUGAAGCUGGCUGGGAAGGGUCAGUACGCAGCUCCAGGGGGACCAGGAGGUGUUUUGGGUAUGGAGCAGAGGAAGGCCUGCUGUGUUGUGCCUUUCCGAAAUAGCCUGGCCACCUGAUUAUUCUUUUACCCAGGAAAUCCUCUGGCAAGAACUGAAUGGUUUCCCAUGAAUGGGAAACCCAGACAGUGUGGUGCUCCAGAUUACUUUAAUAUGUUUUUCCUGGAACGAGGAUGCACCAGCAGUCCAUGCUCUGCAGGUAUGGCUGCAACACCUGAUGGGGUGAUAACUGCAAUCAGGAGCUGUCUCCCUGCUCAGAGCCAGGCCGUGCUCCCAGAGUGAAUUCAGCCCACGCUGCCUGCGAGGCCAGCCCCAGUCCGUGUGUUCACUUACCCUCAUCUGCAUCUGUAGCUCUGAAGGCUGGAGGAUGAUGGAGGGCAAGCAGCAGCUUUUCCUCCGCAGACUAAUAGCUGUAGCAGCAGAGAUCUGUCAUGUCUUCACGACUGCCUUGGUUUACAGUGCACUCCCCAUCUGCUGCAUGUAAAAAAGGCAGUGUCAGCCGUAAAAUAUUGGAAGUCUGACUCCAGCACAAAGAUCCCUGACAAUUUAAUAAGAAUUCCUCAUGGUGCUUCACAAGCUCUUUCAGGGCUCUGACACGAUGCCUCAGGCAGGAUGGAUUACACAGGCUCCCGGGCACUCUCCAAGAGGGAAUUGCGCUGGCCAGUAGGUGUGAGUCAGCGAAGCAGCUCACUUCAUCAGCACCGACUGACGCCUCGCAUCCUGUAAACUGAGGGCAACCUCAUACUCCCUGGCCUUUUUUUUCUGCUGUGAGACAAGAUAGAGGACGUCACCGUUGCCUCCUCGAGUGGCUCACACGUAAGCCUUAAUGGGACACUGGGUUUAGUAAAUGCGUGGCUUCAUUGCUUCUAUAGGAAAGCUUUGUAUCCUUCACAUAAACACACGGAGUCAAUGGGGAUGGACAUAACCUUUUAAAUACUUAUUUUCCUGAAAUCUGUGAGUAUAUCCCAAAUAAAUCUUAGCAGAAGGUUUCAUUUUUCUUUCGCCUGGUCGAUACUCAGCUUGCAGGGAGCUGAUACAUCUGUUUAUUUUCUUCAUCAUCUUGCAGGAUGUACAUAGUGCACAGAACCAUGAAAAAGAAGCGGCUGGAAAAGAGAUGCUGUUAUUUGCUCUUAUCUCAGCCCAUGAUUUUUGAAAAGAGCUGACAUAAGAUUUAAUAAAUAUUCAGUUAAAAGGGGAAAAAAAUGCUUUUCCGCAAAGCUGCAGCUUUUGACUGGAGGAAAUAAAAAUAAAAAAUAAGAGAAUUCUCCUGGAUGAAAAUAAGAGAUGGGAUGACUGUACCCAGAUUAAAAUACCAGAUUGAUAUCCUUGAUCACUACCUCGAGCCAAUCUAUGCAGUCACACGUAGCAGCAAAUUCUCUAUCAGAACUCUAGCCCAGUUCCUAGAUGAUGUUUGAAAGGGGAAAUAAAUAUGUGAGUGGAUGAUAAACAGCGACAUAAUGCAGAGACAAUAGGGAUAGAUGGUAUGUGUCAGGGCAGACAAAACCCAGAUAUAUCACAGAAAUGGGAUCCUACGGCCUAAUGGGACACUGGCUUAAAAAAAUUUCCAGUGUAUCCCAAACAGGUCUUCUCACUACUGUCAUACAGCAACAGCUCUCAGCCAAAAGGGCAAGGCAGCUUCCAAUUUCUGCUGUCCUCCCCCCUCUACCCCCCCCAAUAAAGGUAAUACAAUAAUACUGAGUUUCUGAGAACAGUGAGAACAAGGAAGAAAAUCUCUAACUGUGAAAAAAAGAAAAAGAAAAAAAAAAGAAAAUUAGGAAGAUACAAAAAGGAUGCUUGAAAAAGGAGUAGGUCGAGUGAUGAGAAAUGCAGUCACAAGAUGGUUAACCUACCCCACCCCACCCCCUGUCCUGUUCUUGUUGUCCUAGUGCUGAUUCUGGGCACAGAGGAGCUCAGAGCCCUCCUUAGUCCAGGAUGACACUGUUUGCUACCUGGUGCAGACUGGGUUUCCAAAACACUGCUCUAAAGCACCAUCCAAAGCGUAUGAUGAUGAAGGUCCUCAGGAAAAACUAGGUCAAUGUUACACGUUUCUGCACGAGGAGCGUCAGGAUGUGAUGUGAAUAGCUGCUGCAGUGGCUGCUGCAGGAGGGGCUGGCGUGUGGACACGGCUACGCUGAUAAGAGGUUGGUUUUGUGGGCGAGGGGAGGAUAUGGCAUUAUUCAAACCUGCCCCAGGGGCUGGUACCAGCAGAGCAGAGCUGUGGUUACAGAUGCUGCUUCAUUUAAAAAAACAUUUUUGAGUCCAUUCAAACAAACAAAUAAGCAAAGGAGGUGGCAAGCUUGUUGCCUUUGGGGUCAGGGUGGCUGGCUGCUCAGUUGCAAGCAAAACUUGGGAUGGGAAUUUGUUUAACGAGUGCUUUAAUUCCUCUUUCAUUGUGCUCAGCGACUCCUUACUGUAAGUUUUGGCAGAGCAGGCAAUGCCUAUUCACGGGUACUCACACCUCCUUCAGCAGCAGAUCAUUUUGUGCUGUCCAUCCAGAUAUUGUAUCUGAAUAAAUCUGAGGUUUCACUCAGAGGCAUCUGCUCUCUGAGUCGUCUGCUGCCUCCAGUGAGGAUAUUACAGAGCCACGAUACAAACCCAACCAUUUGGAAACAGCCAUCUUUAGCUAUUAAUGCCAUUUUAAUAAUGACAAAGCUCCGGGUUAAAAACAAUCCUUUGAUCUUUGAAAGGCUUGAAAAUGAGCAGGACAGAGAGGAAGUUCAGUUCCGAUUACCUGCAGAUGUCUGCACACAGUGCUGUGCCCUUUGGGACCAAGGAGCUGUAUUUGUUAAAAAGGAAAAAAAAAACCAGCACCUUAAUUAAAUUAAAAUGAGUAUCAACAAUGAUUUGAAACAAACAUGGUUAAAAAUUGGAAAUGCUUUGACUUCUGGCUGAAAAGAGCUCUGAGAGAGGUCUCAGAGGAGAAGGCAACGAGCAGCCAGGGAUAUUAUUCAUCAGCGUUCGGUUGGCUUUUAAAUAGGAGUUUGCUUUGCCUGCUGGUUCAUGCACCUGAGUGGCAAUGAUCUGUCAAAAAAGUAUAUUUCAUUUCUGGUGCGGGGAACUUUUCUCAGGAGCUGUUUGCUGUCCUGUUAGGAGGUUAUUGACUGCUGCAUUACGCCUGAAAAACCGCCUGUGAAACUGCACCACGAGUGCUUGGGAAUACGGAAACUCUGCAGAGAUGCAGGUAAUUCAGCUGGGGAAGAAGAAGAAUGGUGGUUAUCAAGCAGAAAUCUUCGGAAUGAGAGCAAGCUUUGCCCCAGCUGGAGGCUGACAGGCCAGAUGUUGGCCAUAAGGAAGCAGAAAGCAUCCGAAGAGCUGGACCAGGAGCUGUAGCAUCUCUGAGUCUACCUGGGAGGAAGGGGGAGAUGCAACCCCAUGCCUGGAGCUUCAGGGGACACUGCAGUAGCUGAAAGGCAGCAGGAGCUUCCCAGGGGAUCUGGCACUGUGGAGGAACACCACUGGCACAGCCCUGCAGCAGUGCAGCUAUGGGACUGGUAAAGGAGCUGCUGUUGCCCAGUCCUUUUCUGUCUGCCUACCUCAAUAAAUGCUGCAGUUCAAACCACUCAGAUCAAAAACUCCAGUGCUAAGACCUGUGGCUCCCAGAAACCCCCCAGACUCAUUUUGAAUCAUAGAAUAAAAUCACAGAACAUAAAAUCGUUCCAUAGAAUUGUUCCAUAAAAUCAUAUGGAUAUAAUGGAUAUUAUGGAUAUAAUCCAUGAAAUCUGUUGAAUCAGAAGAGAGCAGAUAGGUUGCAAAUUUUCACGUUGCUGAUGUUUCUCCUGUGUCAGGCUUUGUUUUCUUUCACUGU